rnacentral:rRNA from 1 species
UGGGGAAUAUUGGACAAUGGGCGAAAGCCUGAUCCAGCCAUGCCGCGUGUGUGAAGAAGGCCUUCGGGUUGUAAAGCACUUUAAGCGAGGAGGAAUGGCUCUGGGUUAAUACCCUUGAGCAGUGACGUUACUCGCAGAAUAAGCACCGGCUAACUCUGUGCCAGCAGCCGCGGUAAUACAGAGGGUGCAAGCGUUAAUCGGAAUUACUGGGCGUAAAGCGCGCGUAGGCGGUUACGUAAGUUGGAUGUGAAAUCCCCGGGCUCAACCUGGGAAUUGCAUUCAAAACUGCGUGGCUAGAGUGUGGGAGAGGAAGGUAGAAUUCCAGGUGUAGCGGUGAAAUGCGUAGAUAUCUGGAAGAACACCAGUGGCGAAGGCGGCUCACUGGAUCGGUACUGACGCUGAGGUGCGAAAGCGUGGGGAGCAAACAGGAUUAGAUACCCCCGUAGUCCCUGAGCGGGCUGGCAAGGCG